rnacentral:ncRNA from 1 species
GCCGAGAGGGCGGAGAAUACAAUACCCGAAAGGGGAAUAAUCCCAGCCGUUACCGCUACGGUUUUCGAACCUCUUGGCGACCUUAC